rnacentral:rRNA from 1 species
UGAACGCUAGCUACAGGCUUAACACAUGCAAGUCGAGGGGCAUCAGGAAGAAAGCUUGCUUUCUUUGCUGGCGACCGGCGCACGGGUGAGUAACACGUAUCCAACCUGCCCUUUACUCGGGGAUAGCCUUUCGAAAGAAAGAUUAAUACCCGAUAGCAUAAUGAUUCCGCAUGGUUUCAUUAUUAAAGGAUUCCGGUAAAGGAUGGGGAUGCGUUCCAUUAGGUUGUUGGUGAGGUAACGGCUCACCAAGCCUUCGAUGGAUAGGGGUUCUGAGAGGAAGGUCCCCCACAUUGGAACUGAGACACGGUCCAAACUCCUACGGGAGGCAGCAGUGAGGAAUAUUGGUCAAUGGGCGCUAGCCUGAACCAGCCAAGUAGCGUGAAGGAUGAAGGCUCUAUGGGUCGUAAACUUCUUUUAUAUAAGAAUAAAGUGCAGUAUGUAUACUGUUUUGUAUGUAUUAUAUGAAUAAGGAUCGGCUAACUCCGUGCCAGCAGCCGCGGUAAUACGGAGGAUCCGAGCGUUAUCCGGAUUUAUUGGGUUUAAAGGGAGCGUAGGUGGACUGGUAAGUCAGUUGUGAAAGUUUGCGGCUCAACCGUAAAAUUGCAGUUGAUACUGUCAGUCUUGAGUACAGUAGAGGUGGGCGGAAUUCGUGGUGUAGCGGUGAAAUGCUUAGAUAUCACGAAGAACUCCGAUUGCGAAGGCAGCUCACUGGACUGCAACUGACACUGAUGCUCGAAAGUGUGGGUAUCAAACAGGAUUAGAUACCCUGGUAGUCCACACAGUAAACGAUGAAUACUCGCUGUUUGCGAUAUACAGUAAGCGGCCAAGCGAAAGCAUUAAGUAUUCCACCUGGGGAGUACGCCGGCAACGGUGAAACUCAAAGGAAUUGACAGGGGCCCGCACAAGCGGAGGAACAUGUGGUUUAAUUCGAUGAUACGCGAGGAACCUUACCCGGGCUUAAAUUGCAGUGGAAUGAUGUGGAAACAUGUCAGUGAGCAAUCACCGCUGUGAAGGUGCUGCAUGGUUGUCGUCAGCUCGUGCCGUGAGGUGUCGGCUUAAGUGCCAUAACGAGCGCAACCCUUAUCUUUAGUUACUAACAGGUCAUGCUGAGGACUCUAGAGAGACUGCCGUCGUAAGAUGUGAGGAAGGUGGGGAUGACGUCAAAUCAGCACGGCCCUUACGUCCGGGGCUACACACGUGUUACAAUGGGGGGUACAGAAGGCAGCUAGCGGGUGACCGUAUGCUAAUCCCAAAAGCCUCUCUCAGUUCGGAUCGAAGUCUGCAACCCGACUUCGUGAAGCUGGAUUCGCUAGUAAUCGCGCAUCAGCCACGGCGCGGUGAAUACGUUCCCGGGCCUUGUACACACCGCCCGUCAAGCCAUGGGAGCCGGGGGUACCUGAAGUACGUAACCGCAAGGAUCGUCCUAGGGUAAAACUGGUGACUGGGGCU